UCUAACCCUGAAUUCUGAUAGCUGUGGGUGUUGUGCUUUCAUCUCUGCCUGCUGAUUUUCUCGCUGACUUCCAGCUGACUGGAAAGUCAAGGCCUUCAGUGGGCCAUUGCACAUUCUCAACCACAAAGAAUGACAAAUCU
ensembl:misc_RNA Telomerase-vert Vertebrate telomerase RNA